rnacentral:rRNA from 1 species
AGUGAACGCUGGCGGUAGGCUUAACACAUGCAAGUCGAACGGCAGCACAGUAAGAGCUUGCUCUUACGGGUGGCGAGUGGCGGACGGGUGAGGAAUACAUCGGAAUCUACUUUUUCGUGGGGGUUAACGUAGGGAAACUUACGCUAAUACCGCAUACGACCUACGGGUGAAAGCAGGGGAUCUUCGGACCUUGCGCGAUUGAAUGAGCCGAUGUCGGAUUAGCUAGUUGGCGGGGUAAAGGCCCACCAAGGCGACGAUCCGUAGCUGGUCUGAGAGGAUGAUCAGCCACACUGGAACUGAGACACGGUCCAGACUCCUACGGGAGGCAGCAGUGGGGAAUAUUGGACAAUGGGCGCAAGCCUGAUCCAGCCAUACCGCGUGGGUGAAGAAGGCCUUCGGGUUGUAAAGCCCUUUUGUUGGGAAAGAAAAGCAGCAGGUUAAUACCCCGCUGUUCUGACGGUACCCAAAGAAUAAGCACCGGCUAACUUCGUG